AACGAACGCUGGCGGCGUGGCUAAGACAUGCAAGUCAAACGGACCAGUAAUUUAUUAUUGGUUAGUGGCGAAAGGGUUAGUAGUAGAUAGGUAACGUACCUUAUGCUCUGGGAUAGCGUCUGAUUGCUUCGGCAAUCUUCCGAAAGGGGCGGUAAUACCGGAUAAUGUCAUCUUUCGACUGGACUGAUGACCAAAGAUUUAUCGGCAUUCGAGCGGCUCAUCUCCUAUCAGCUUGUUGGUGAGGUAAAGGCUCACCAAGGCUAAGACGGGUAGCGGGACUGAGAGGUUGACCCGCAACAUCGGGACUGAGACACUGCCCGGACCUCCACGGAGGGCUGCAGUAACGAAUAUUGCGCAAUGGGCGAAAGCCUGACGCAGCGACGCCGCGUGUAGGAGGAAACCCCUCGGGGUGUAAACUACUGUCAGGGGCUAGAAACACCGCUUCGGCGGUUUGAUCAGCCCCAGAGGAAGUCACGGCUAACUUCGUGCCAGCAGCCGCGGUAAGACGAAGGUGGCGAGCGUUGUUCGGUGUUACUGGGCUUAAAGCGUGUGUAGGCGGAAAGGAAAGCGUCCUGUGAAAUCCCUCGGCUUAACCGGGGAAUUGCUGGGCGAACUGCUUUUCUUGAGGCAGGCAGGGGUGCGUGGAACUCUUGGUGGAGCGGUGGAAUGCGUAGAUAUCAAGAGGAACGCCAGCGGUGAAAACGACGCGCUGGGCCUGUCCUGACGCUGAGACACGAAAGCGUGGGGAGCGAACGGGAUUAGAUACCCCGGUAGUCCACGCCGUAAACGAUGUCUACUAGGUAGUGGAGGUUCUGACGCCUGCACUGCCGAAGCAAAAGUGUUAAGUAGACCGCCUGGGGAGUACGGUCGCAAGGCUA
rnacentral:rRNA from 1 species